rnacentral:rRNA from 1 species
CCUACGGGUGGCAGCAGUGGGGGAUAUUGGACAAUGGGGGGAACCCUGAUCCAGCGACGCCGCGUGAGUGAAGAAGUAUUUCGGUAUGUAAAGCUCUGUCAGCAGGGAAGAAAGAAAUGACGGUACCUGACCAAGAAGCCCCGGCUAACUACGUGCCAGCAGCCGCGGUAAUACGUAGGGGGCAAGCGUUAUCCGGAAUUACUGGGUGUAAAGGGAGCGUAGACGGUUAAGUAAGUCUGGAGUGAAAGGCCGGGGCCCAACCCCGGGACUGCUGUGGAAACUAUUGAACUUGAGUGCAGUGGAGGUAAGCGGAAUUCCUAGUGUAGCGGUGAAAUGCGUAGAUAUUAGGAGGAACACCAGUGGCGAAGGCGGCUUACUGGACUGUAACUGACGUUGAGGCUCGAAAGCGUGGGGAGCAAACAGGAUUAGAUACCCUAGUAGUC